rnacentral:rRNA from 1 species
CCUACGGGCGGCAGCAGUGAGGAAUAUUGGUCAAUGGGCGCGAGCCUGAACCAGCCAAGUAGCGUGAAGGAUGACUGCCUUACGGGUUGUAAACUUCUUUUAUAAAGGAAUAAAGUGAGGCACGUGUGCCUUUUUGUAUGUACUUUAUGAAUAAGGAUCGGCUAACUCCGUGCCAGCAGCCGCGGUAAUACGGAGGAUCCGAGCGUUAUCCGGAUUUAUUGGGUUUAAAGGGAGCGUAGAUGGGUUGUUAAGUCAGUUGUGAAAGUUUGCGGCUCAACCGUAAAAUUGCAAUUGAUACUGGCAGUCUUGAGUACAGUUGAGGUAGGCGGAAUUCGUGGUGUAGCGGUGAAAUGCUUAGAUAUCACGAAGAACUCCGAUUGCGUAGGCAGGUUGCUGGGACGGUUCUGACACUAAGGCACGAAAGCGUAGGGAGCAAACGGGAUUAGAUACCCUGGUAGUC